rnacentral:rRNA from 1 species
GACGAACGCUGGCGGCGUGCUUAACACAUGCAAGUCGAACGGAAAGGCCCCUUUGUGGGUACUCGAGUGGCGAACGGGGGAGUAACACGUGAGUAACCUGCCCUUGACUUCGGGAUAACUUCAGGAAACUGAAGCUAAUACCGGAUAGGAAUCCUUGCUUCAUGCUGGGGGUUGGAAAGCUUCGGCGGUGUUGGAUGGGCUCGCGGCGUAGCUGCUUGUUGGUGUGGUAGUGGCGUACCAAGGCUUUGUCGGGUAGCAGGCCUGAGUGGGCGACCGGCCACAUUGGGACUGAGAGACGGCCCAGACUGCGACGGGAGGCAGCAGGGGGGAAUAUUGCACGAGGGGCGGAAGCCUGAUGCAGCAGCGCCGCGGGCCGGAAGACGGCCUUCGGGUUGUAAACCGCUUUCAGCAGGGGCGAAGCUUGUGGUGACGGUACCUGCAGAAGAAGCACCGGCUAACUACGUG